GAUGAACGCUGGCGGCGCGCCUAACACAUGCAAGUCGAACGGGAUUGAGAGGAGCUUGCUUUUCUUUGAUUCAGUGGCGAACGGGUGAGUAACGCGUGAGGAACCUGCCUUAAAGAGGGGGACAACAGUUGGAAACGACUGCUAAUACCGCAUAAGCCCACGGUACCGCAUGGUACAGAGGGAAAGGAGCAGUCCGCUUUUAAGAUGGCCUCGCGUCCGAUUAGCUAGUUGGUGAGGUAACGGCCCACCAAGGCGACGAUCGGUAGCCGGACUGAGAGGUUGAACGGCCACAUUGGGACUGAGACACGGCCCAGACUCCUACGGGAGGCAGCAGUGGGGAAUAUUGCACAAUGGGGGAAACCCUGAUGCAGCGACGCCGCGUGGAGGAAGAAGGUCUUCGGAUUGUAAACUCCUGUUGUUGGGGAAGAUAAUGACGGUACCCAACAAGGAAGUGACGGCUAACUACGUGCCAGCCGCCGCGGUAAC
rnacentral:rRNA from 1 species